rnacentral:tRNA from 1 species
AUUUAUAUAGUUUAUAUAAAACAUUACAUUUUCAUUGUAAAGUAAAGAUUAUUUCUUUUUAAAUA